rnacentral:rRNA from 1 species
AAUCUUCCACAAUGGGCGAAAGCCUGAUGGAGCAACGCUGCGUGAGUGAAGAAGGUUUUCGGAUCGUCCCACUCUGUUGUAAGGGAAGAACAAGUACAGUAGUAACUGGCUGUACCUUGACGGUACCUUAUUAGAAAGCCACGGCCAACUACGUGCCCGCAGCCGCGGUAAUACGUAGGUGGCAAGCGUUGUCCGGAAUUAUUGGGCGUAAAGCGCGCGCAGGCGGUCCUUUAAGUCUGAUGUGAAAGCCCACGGCUCAACCGUGGAGGGUCAUUGGAAACUGGGGGACUUGAGAGCAGAAGAGGAAAGUGGAAUUCCAAGUGUAGAGGUGAAAUGCGUAGAGAUUUGGAGGAACACCAGUGGCGAAGGCGACUUUCUGGUCUGUAACUGACGCUGAGGCGCGAAAGCGUGGGGAGCAAACA